rnacentral:tRNA from 1 species
GGUGGGAGAGUAGAGUGGUUGAGAAUGUAGGAGGGGCUUCCAGACAAGCCUGGGUUCAAAUCCCAGUUCCACCA